CGGGUGAGUAAUGCAUCGGAACGUGCCCGAUCGUGGGGGAUAACGUAGCGAAAGUUACGCUAAUACCGCAUACGAUCUGAGGAUGAAAGCGGGGGACCGUAAGGCCUCGCGCGAUCGGAGCGGCCGAUGUCAGAUUAGGUAGUUGGUGGGGUAAAGGCCCACCAAGCCGACGAUCUGUAGCUGGUCUGAGAGGACGACCAGCCACACUGGGACUGAGACACGGCCCAGACUCCUACGGGAGGCAGCAGUGGGGAAUUUUGGACAAUGGGCGCAAGCCUGAUCCAGCAAUGCCGCGUGCAGGAAGAAGGCCUUCGGGUUGUAAACUGCUUUUGUACGGAGCGAAAAGGCUCUCUCUAAUACAGGGGGCUCAUGACGGUACCGUAAGAAUAAGCACCGGCUA
rnacentral:rRNA from 1 species